GAUGAACGCUAGCGGCAGGCUUAACACACGCAAGUCGAGGGGUAUUAGUUUUCGGACUAAGAGACCGGCGCACGGGUGCGUAACGCGUAUGCAAUCUACCUUUUACAGAGGGAUAGCCCAGAGAAAUUUGGAUUAAUACCUCAUAGUAUAGCAGUUUCGCAUGAAACCACUAUUAAAGUCACAACGGUAAAAGAUGAGCAUGCGUCCCAUUAGCUAGUUGGUAAGGUAACGGCUUACCAAGGCUACGAUGGGUAGGGGUCCUGAGAGGGAGAUCCCCCACACUGGUACUGAGACACGGACCAGACUCCUACGGGAGGCAGCAGUGAGGAAUAUUGGACAAUGGGCGCAAGCCUGAUCCAGCCAUGCCGCGUGCAGGAUGACGGUCCUAUGGAUUGUAAACUGCUUUUGUACGAGAAGAAACACUCCUAUGUAUAGGAGCUUGACGGCAUCGUAAGAAUAAGGAUCGGCUAACUCCGUGCCAGCAGCCGCGGUAAUACGGAGGAUCCAAGCGUUAUCCGGAAUCAUUGGGUUUAAAGGGUCCGUAGGCGGUUUAGUAAGUCAGUGGUGAAAGCCCAUCGCUCAACGGUGGAACGGCCAUUGAUACUGCUGAACUUGAAUUAUUAGGAAGUAACUAGAAUAUGUAGUGUAGCGGUGAAAUGCUUAGAGAUUACAUGGAAUACCAAUUGCGAAGGCAGGUUACUACUAAUUGAUUGACGCUGAUGGACGAAAG
rnacentral:rRNA from 1 species